rnacentral:lncRNA from 1 species
GCCAAAAGCCAGCCCGGAGUCCGCACAGGGACACACUCAAGGGCACACUAAUUAGGACAAUGAGACCGCGUGUGAUUAAUGGCCUUUGGCAGGAGUCUGCCCAGCACUGUGCUGCCUGGGGUCACGGUUCCCUCAAAACCACCGGAAAAGGAUGCCUGGGGGGCUCAGUGGUCGCGUCUGCCUUCGGCCCAGGGCGUGACCCCGAGGUCCUUGGAUGGAGUCCCGCAUCGGGCCCCCCGCCGGGAGCCUGCUUCUCCCUCUGCCUGUGUCUCUGCCUUUCUCUCUGUGUCUAUUGUGAAUAAAUAAAUAAAUUAAUAAAUUAAUUAAUCCUAAAAAAAAAAAAAACUCACAAAACUAAAAGCCACCCGAGCAAAGGUGCAGGUGAGCUUGGGAGCUCUCCAGGAAUCGACCGUGGCUUCAGAAAAGGAAGAGGUUUCAACUUUUAAUUUCUAAAAUGUUGGCUGAUGACUCCUUUUUGCUUAGGGAAAAUGUCAUUGAUAAAUCCUGAAGCUAAAUGUAGAAACUCUGGAGGGGGAAAAAAAAACAAAAAAACUAACGGUGGGAUGAGAUGUGGUUUUUAGAGCUAGAGAAAAUGUCCUGGAAAAUUCUUGGUAACCGAAAACUAACUCGUGAAGCCGGGAACUUCCAAACCAAACACAUCUCCUAAUUCAUUCCUCUGUUGAGUAAUUCUUUGUGGACUGACUUGAGGGGAGGCAUCCAAUAAAAUCUAAUCGUUGGCGUGCAAAUACGCUAGGGCUUUUAUGGGUGACAAUAAAAUGUAGUUUAUCUGGGAAUCAGGUAUUAGCUUCGUGGAAGAGAUUUCUGUGUGUGUGUGUGUGUGUGUGUGUGUGUGUUUAAAAUUUUUUGGCAGCCCUAGGAAAGCUGCAGCAUCCCACAAGGCGCUGCCUAAAACGUUGGGAUUCGAGCAUGAAGUCGCAGCCUCUGCCUUCGUGCUUACGUUCUACGCCCAGAUCGGAGACGGGAUUCACAAAUAAAACCUGGGUUUCCCUUAGGCAGCAUUUACCGUGUGCGGCGUGGUCCGCGGCCGAGGGAAGGAUGUGCAGGGCCUGGGACUCGGGGCUGCAGCCAGGGCAGCGAGGCUCUACGCCCGGAGCUGGCCUGGCAUGGGCACGGCCAGUCGACUGGAAAAGGUGCCAGCCGGCUCCUGGAGCAGGUGUCUUGGAGCAGGUGUGUCCUAGAGCAGGUGUCCUUGAGCAGGUGUGUCCUAGAGCAGGAGUCCUGGAACGCAGGCACACUCACGCACACCCCGGUCUUGAAUCUUGCCACGUGCUCUAG